GCUGGGCACGGUGGUGCACACCUGUAAUCCCAGAGGCUCAGGAGGCUGAGGCGGGAGGAUCAUGAGUUCAAGGCCAGCCUCAGCAACUUAGUGAGGCCCUAAGCAACUCAGUGAGAUCCUGUCUCUA
rnacentral:sRNA from 1 species